AACACGCGACUGACGACGACGAUACCCUCCUUUCUCCUCUUUUCAGGCCAAGUCUGUGUCCAAGGUCAUCAAGGCCGACAUCUACCCCGAGUUCGGCACCUACCCCGGCGGCGGCGAGUCCCCCAUCAUCCCCUUCGGCUCCGAGAAGAACGCCGAGCGUGAGGUCAUCCACGGCCGCUGGGCGAUGCUCGGCGUGACCGGUGCCUGGGCCGCCGAGAACGGCACCGGCAUCCCCUGGUUCACCGCCGGUACCCUCUGCACCCCCGACGACUGCACCGCCGUCGCGGACAAGUUCCCCGGCGCCGUCGCUCCCCUCGCCCCCGAGGGCUCCGGCUACCCCUCCUUCUGGGCCGUCCUCGCCAUCGAGGUCGUCCUCGUCGGCCUCGCUGAGGCUUACCGCACCGGCCUCUCCGACCCCGUCUUCGACGAGCUCACCGUCGGUGACGUGUCCCCCGGUGGCCGCUUCGACCCCCUCGGCCUCGCCGAGUCCGGUGACCUCGAGGAGCUCAAGAUCAAGGAGCUCAAGCACUGCCGCCUCUCCAUGUUCGCGUGGCUCGGCUGCAUCAUGCAGGGUCUCGCCACCCAGGAGGGCCCCAUCGCCAACUGGCAGGCGCACGUCGCGGACCCCGUCCACGCCAACGUGCUCACCAACGCCGCCUCCGGCUUCGGCUUCUACUAAAUUGUGCGACCUCGCACGAUGGUAGUCCGUCCUGUUGUACCACUUGACUCUAGCGUUAGGUAGUUAGCCAAGGGAGAGUUGUAACAAAGCUUCUCGCUUCCACAAGUCUUAUGCUCCCGCACUCGAAAAAGCGAAUCCUCCGAACCGUACUGAACCAAUGAACCAACGCGAGCUUCGCGGGAAAUUAGAAAGUUCCCGAUUCUCGCUUUGUGGACCAAUGGGAGCGCGGCAGCCGCCGAAUGGAUCCGCUAAAUCCUCAUCGAUGGUUUGUUUUCUUCGAUGAAAUCCAGUUCAGGAGCUUUUCAUUGGCUUUUCAAGAGACGAGAAUCAAUUGCUGCGCUGUGACUGGCCGAAAAGGGAGAUUCUGUUGGCCUGAUUCGCAUCAAAGUGAGUAAAAAGCUGACUCGCCGCAACUCCCUCGCCAUUCCAGCACACGCAACUUUGCAACACACACACCAAAACUCAUUACUACAAUCAUGGCCUGCAUUGCCUCCUCCUUCACCGGCUCCGUCGCGGCCCUCAAGGCGACCAAGAUCCAGGUGCGCAUCGCAUCAUGCGCCGUGUUCCGUGUCCGUUCUCUUCUUCGGCAAAUGCCCAAAAAAACGCCGAAAUCGCGGGCCAAGGCUCCGCCGAAAACACGCGACUGACGACGACGAUGCCCUCCUUUCUCCUCUUUUCAGGCCAAGUCUGUUUCCAAGGUCAUCAAGGCCGACAUCUACCCCGAGUUCGGCAC
rnacentral:lncRNA from 1 species